ACGGUAAAGACGACAUAACGAUUAGCUUAGUUUGUUACAACAAAGAGAUUAAAAACAUAAAAUAGGCCGGAAAAUUCAAAAGUUCAAAAACUACACAAGGCCCAAGCCCAACUUCAACAACAGAGAAAGAAACAUACCCGACCUGACUUCACCAAAAAACUCGACGAAUGAAGCAAUCGCUUAACGAUCAGCGUAUACAGAGUUCUGAUCAACAAUGGCCGCCACAACGUCCUUGGAUUCCUUCAGAAGCUUGAGACUAUUCUUCAGCUUCUCCCUCUUGCUCGCCACCGACGGUGAUUCCUCCAGCAUCCUAUCUAUUCCUCCGCCAGCUCUUGGAUCCACCAUCUCCGCCACAAUCUCCUUCUGAAACUGACUGUUGACCAGAUUCUUCACAGAGAAUUGAAGGUAGAGAGCAAGGUUAUCGACAACCCUUCGCAAUACGAUCGUCCAGUAAGAUGUGAUCCUCAUCUUCAUAUCAAACGCUUGUUGCAGCAAAUGAGCGUGAUACUUUCGCAGAUGCGAGAUCUUCACAUCCCCGAAUCCAGGUAAAGCAAAAUUCUCAGGUUUAUUCUCAUCGUGCAACACAGAAUUGAUGAAGUUUUGCUGUGAGGUUGUCUUCUGAGUCCAAGAAGUCAUGUAAUCUGGGUUACAUGUGUAAUCGGUAAGCUUCUCCAUCUCAACGAUCUCAAUUACUCAGUUCACGGAACGUUCCUUAGUCCUGCUCAUUAGAUUACGACCAGCCCUUUUGAUGGAGGAUUGAAUCUGGGGAAAGUUGUCAGAAUAUGUCGUAAUGACUGAUGACAGAACGACUUCAAUGUAGUCCCAUAUCUCCUUGAUGAACUCAACUGGCUUGUCUUGUAUCCCAUCCACAUGUUGUGAAAGGAUUGCUAAGAAAGAAGAUCUUGGUAUAAAAUUAGGCAAUCCGAUACAUUUGCGCUCUUCUAAGACUUUGAUUUCAUCCAUCAAGAACUCUUCUGUCACGGCUUGAGGCUGUGCCUGCAGAUUGUCUGAGAAUCGGUUUAACAUUUCAGCCAAGCGAGCUGUGCAAUGCAUCUUUUGAUCGUUAGGGUAUUCAGAGAAAUCUCCAUGGACAAGGAUUCUUAGUAGAGACUCCUUGGCAGAACCAAUGAUAUCCAUUAGAGACAUUAAUGCUUCCCCAGUAGAAGCCAUGACUAUUGGGAGCUUGUUAAACUCCAGGACACUGAUUUCCAUCUUCACAUUUAUCUUCCUUUCGAUUUCCGGCAAACACCUAGAUAUCAUCAUUCCCUGGAUCUGCGUCAGCUUCUGAGCUAAGACGGGGAUACCCACAAUCUCAUCAUUGAUCAUUGAAAGCAUCGGGUGGGUCCUGAAAAGUAACUCUUCUUGCAUUCGAGCUUCUUCAUAGGUUUCCUCCCCUAUCCGGUUUCUAACACAGACAUAACCAAGUCCGAUACUCACAUCAUCUGCAGUUACUUUCUGGAGAAGCCCUUCAGGAGCCAUGUCAGCCUUUGUGACUACAGCCAGAGUCCGCUCACCGGUUUUGUCCACCUGUUUAGACAUUCUGAUGGAUUCACAAGUAGUGAAAUCAACUGUCGCUGACAGAACAUUGAGUAUGAUUGAUUCUUGUGGCUCAAUAUACUUCAUAACCAUCCUGGAAAUCUGUUCAUAAAUAUUUUCAGGCUGUCCGUUCACAGGAACACGGGUUAUUCCAGGGAGAUCAACCAUAGUAAUAUCUGGAACACCAGCCUUCUUCACAUGGAGCGUAAGGGGUGUGUCUGAAACCCCUUUGCCAGAUCCUGCAACACAGUAUUCACAAGUACUAAUCAAAAUCAAGACUUCAACUGAGGCUUGGAAGCUUAAACCAAACAUAUUUAACAGUAUGGAAGGAAUAGAGGCAAAACAUACCAGCUAUCACGUCUGUAGCUGCACAAAUAGUUUGAGCAAUGUGUUCCUCAUCUGUAGGAACAAUUUUGUCACCGUACUCCAGCCAGAUCUCAGGUUCAGGGCUUCGACUUCUCUGGAGCCUCAUGACAAGAGGAACUCUAGUGCAGAUUCCUUGCCCACGUGGCAAACUGAUUCCUGCCAACGACUCGAGGACACUCGACUUCCCCGAGGACUGGUCUCCAACCACAACAAUGGUAGGAAGCUGAAUCCCUUCUUGCAUCACAUUCAAGUUCCUGAGCUUGUCCACAGUGUCAAGCAACGGCCUGAUGUGGUCAUUGUAAGAUGAUACAAUUGGUGCUUCUGUGGGAACAACAUCUUUGUGGGGGUGAGGAUUCGCCUGGACAAUUGCCAGAGAAGGAGUGGUACUAGUGACAUCAUGCUUGUUACUACGUCCCAUUUUGUUGCUUGAGGAGACAAUACAAGAGUAGAAUAGAAUGAGAUAGAGAAUAGAAGUAAGUGAGAUAAGCGUAGUUGAGAUUUAUCAAAGAGAUAUGCAAAUAUAUAUACUGAGAUAUUUGAAGGGCUUUGUGUUUAUGAGCACUAUACUACAGAAGCAGACGUUUGACAUGAAAUGACGUAAGUAAAAAGCAUAUUGGAACUGAACAAAGCUAAUUAAUUAAGUUCAUGAUUACACCUAUUACCUAUAGAUAUUAG